AAGAUGGCUGUCCCAAGACAGAGCUAUCUCAACUCUUCAGAGAAAUCUUGCAGGUGUACUGGCAGCUCUUGCUGAGGAGGCAGAGAAAAAGGACCCAGUAGCAAGGGGCCUUUAUACAUAUUGCGCAACAUACAGGUUUGUAGCUGCCAUCCAUGUCCAGGCAGAUGUUCUUCCCCACCUGACACAGCUUUCAAAGCUUUCCAAAAGGAAAAAGUCAAUUGUUUGGCCAUCAAGAAACAUGUGCCUGUUACUAUUGAGGCCAUUCGACAAAUCAAGGAGGCAGGAGAUGUGCAACCUCCAGGGUCAUAUCAGUUUUUUGGAAGAAAGAGUGAAACGCCUCAGUGAUUUUGACCUCGCCUCUUUUUGGACUCGUUUUCAAACUCAUGUCUUGAAUAUUCAGUGUUUCCAGUUACAAACUUGGAAAAUAUGAUGGAAUUAGACAACCUUUGUUUUAUCUAUUAAAAAUACAUCUUUUCACAAGGUAACAGCCAUAUUUAGACCAUCUGAUUGAGCAUUUUGAGAGGAGAUUCCCAGAGAUGAACAUCCUUGCUGCAUGCAUUCAACAUACUCAGCCCACAAGCAGUGGAGAAGGAAGAUGACUUUUUUGCAACUGCUUGUCAAAACGUUUCCCACUUUGGAUGAAGGGGCAGUACUCCAAGAAUGGACCUGUUUCAAAGUCCAUCUUGGCCAAGGCAUUUUUUGUUAUGUUUGUGUUCUCAGUGGUUUAUUUUAGGUUCCCUGUGUUAUUUAGGUUUUGUGUGUCUGUUCCCUGUGAGUCUAUGUUGUCCUGUCUACUAGUUGAUUAGUGUCACCUGUUCCUUGUUUCCCUGUGAUUGUCUCCCUGUGUAUUUAAGCCCACCAGUUGUCUCUGUCCCUGGUUGGAUCCUUGUCUAAUGUCUGUCGUUAGUCAUGUGUCCUUUCAGUUAGCCUUCCCAGUAGAACUGUAAAGUCCUGUGUCGGCAUUAGCUCCUGUAUGUCAGUCUUACCAGUUACAAUCGGUGCCGAGUUGUUUUGUACCUACUCUGCCGAGUUGCCUGUGUUUCAUGGACUGUCUGAGCUCUCUUCAUUAAAUCAUGUUCAUCAUUGUCAUCAUCAUUCUGGAUCUACAGCAUUCUUACUCACCACCACACCGCAAAUCGUGACAUUUUUAAGGAUAAGUCACAGCUGGAGGUGAUGCAGGAUAUGGCCUCUGACUUUGAUGAACUGAAGCUACCCAAAUCUGUCACCACUCUGCCAUUGCAUUGACCAGUGGUUCCCAAAAAUUUUCUUCUGGGCCCCCCUAUGGAUUACAAAAAAAAAAAAAA